GGACAUAGCUGAGUGGUAAAACACUUGCUUUGCAUGCAUGAAGCUGUGAGUUCGAUCCCUAUUUCCA
rnacentral:tRNA from 1 species